CAGCCCACGCAGUGAGCCGAGCUCCGCCCCUUUUACUCCGGUUCUGCGCUUCACUCUGCGCCUGGCAGCGAGUGGGGCGCUCGCAGGGCCCGGUUGACACACGCUCGGCUCGCCGAAGCUUGGAGGUUUCGGACUGAAGCGUUUGCAUCUUGCUUCCCUCCCCCUGACCCUGUGUCUUAACUCCAGGGGAGAACUCCCCGCGUCCCAGCUGGUUUUCCAGUCCUCUUUGACUCUUCCGCUAUAGCUUCAAGGAGCCUUCUCCUGCACAUUUUGCACACCCAAACCGCUCCUUGAAGUCAGACGUGGGGGUGCAAAGAAUGCAGGCUGAUGCCGCAGAGGACUAGAAUUCCACCUUGUCCUGAGGCAGACCAUUCAUUUGAGUCUCAGUGGAAGCAGGAAGAUGAUGAUGGCGUCAAAAAUCUUGGACAUGUACACUGGGAAGGGAAGAAUUAACCAGCAGGGAAGAGACUUGGAAUCACCUGCCGGAGGGCCAAGACAUGAGGCGGCAGGAGGCAGCCAUUGCCCCAGGAGGGAGACAACAAUCACACCAUGCCUGGCCAAGAAAAGAUGUCAAGUGAUGAGCUGACCCCCUUCACAGCCUCCGCUGAUAGACUGCAAACUUUGGACAAUAGCAGGGUGGUAGGAAGUGGCCCAGGGAGAGCAGCUUUAAGAUACUCCUGGGUAUGAGACCCUUGUGUUGCCCUCACGGGGCCCUGGGCUGGAGCCUGGUGGAGUGGGAGGUCUCAGCCCCUACUCCCCGCAUGUUGAAAGGUCAAAGCCUUGACCACUAGUAGUGCCCCCCCACCCAUCCCCACAAGUGAAAACCGCCACAGAUCCACAUGCUCAAAACCUAAGAGGCUAAUAAGUCAUGGCUAUUGUUACUCCGACUCUGAUUGUUACAAAGUCUGAAAAUAGCUAAACAAAUGUGAUAAUUCAUCAUGGCCAUGUUGUUUGUUUCCCUGAGCUCAGUCCUCAUGGGCACAUUAGAAAGAGUGCCUCUUAAAUGGGCAGUUGAAAAAGCAGGAAUAAGAACAGCGAUAUUAUUCCCAGCAAAGUUUCAGCAUAUCAGUGACGAAAAAGUCUAAUACAUCUGGGCCAUUAAUUCAGCUAAGAGCCCUGCUGGAAAGAAGUUUUAAGGGAUCUGGACUGAUUUGCUUUAAGUUCUAAGAAGAAUAGGACUAAAAUACUUGUAUCUAGGGCCCUUCCAAUUUCACAGCCGUGGAAAAUGUGUCACAGACUGUUAAAUCAGCCGUUCCCCGUGAAAUCUGAUCUCCCCUGCUGCUGGGAGCAUGGGGCUCCUAGCUGCUAUUCUGGACAUGCUAGGGAGGGACUGGAAUUGUCCUUCACCUGCAUGGCCACUCUUGGUGGGGAGAUCAGAUCCACCUCCAGAGGUAGCGCAGAAAUGAGGGUGUUACACCUUCACUUCUGCGCUGCAGCAGCCUAGAAGCUGGGCUCUGGGCUUCCAUCCCCCCCUUUCCCCUCCCCCGCAGCUCUGGGUGCCGAGCUCGGGGCUUUCUCCCAGGACGACUCCUGCUGGGGCUUGGGGCUUCCACUCCUAGUGGCUGCAGAUGGAGCUCAGGACAGCCUGGGCUGGAGGCUUCCACCCCCCACUCCCUCGCCACUCCACCUGAGGCAGCCCAGGCUCUAGGCUUCCAUGCCCCCCUUACCCCACACCAGCUGGGACAACCCAGGCUUGGGGCUUCUGCCCCCUGCCACUUCAGCUAGAGUUUGGGGCAGCCCAGGCUCAGGGCUUCUGACCCCUCCCCCCCGCUAGCCGGAGCAGCCCAGGCUUAGGGCUUCAGGCCCACGGCUGUAGCCGGGGUUUGGGGCACUUGGGCUUGACGCUUCUUCCCCCAUGGCUACUGCUGGGGCUCAGGGUGACCUGGUCAGGGCUUUUGCCCUAGGGCUUCUUCCAGGGCUGGGGCACAGGGGCCCAAAUUGGCUGGGGUCCCCUGCUUUAUUCUGUCACUGGCCUGGAUUAGCAGCGAGGAGCCCCCAGCUGGGGUGCUUGCAGCAGCAUAGGGGAGAUCCUAUGCACCUCCAGGAACCUCCUCUAACUGCAGGAAGCUGGGAGGGUUAGGGUGGCCCCUCCUAUAACAACUUUGCAACCCUUCCCCCUCCCCCCUUCCCAUUUUGGGUCAGGACCCCCAGGGUUACAGCACUGUGAAAUUUCAGAUGUAAACAUCUGAAAUCUUGAAAUUGAUCAGUUUUAAAACCCUCUGGCUGUGAAAUUAAUCAGAAUGGACUGUGAAUUUGGUAGGACCCUACCUGUAUUUUAAUUGUUGCCCUACUAAGACAGGUGGACUUCAGUCUGUCAGUACAUAUCUGGUCAAAUUAAACGAUACAAAAAUUGCAAAUCCUGCUGCUUCAAAAACCAUGAGUUUGAUUCAAUCCAACUCUUCCAGCCAUGGACAAUUAACAUGCAAAUCUGGGCCCAAUCAUGCUGUUCCUUUGGACUCACUCAGGUGCAGGCAAGAUCAAAGGCAUCUGAAAUAUUUGCUGUUGAAAAAAGAAACUGGGAAAUUAUCCAGCACUAGAAUAAGGGCAGUCACACGCUGUGGUGGGGAGG